GAGAGAGGGGUGUGUGUGUGAGAGAGAGAGAGAGAGGGGUGUGUGUGUGAGAGAAAGUUUGUUUGUGUGUGGGAGAAGAGAGGUGAGUGUGUUAUCCGAUCCCACCAACACAAUCCACACCCGUGCUUUCCGGCUCUCCCCUUAUUUCUUCUCCUCUCCCAUCGACUGCCGGCAAAGGCCGAGAUUUCCUGGUCGAUUCUGCCUCGCCGCCGCUGGGGGGUGUGGAACGCUGAUCCUCCGCGCAUUUUUAAAAAGAAAUCUGCCUUCAGGCGGAGUCCUGCCACCUUUUUACUUCACGCCCUCGUCCCUGGCAUCAACUCCCCCCCCCCCCCCCCCCCCCCCCCCCCCCCCCCCCACCCAGCGGAUCACACGGGGGGCCCCGGAAGCAGAAACCGGCCCCCCUCGCGCAUAUUAGAGUAAAACGAUUUGGUCCCAACUCCGUUAGAAAUGGCAUUUACAAAAUAUCCCCACAGUUUCCAUCACGUAGCUCUCUUACUCUCGAUCCCGGCCAGUUCCCUCCACCACCCCCUUUUGUAAAAAAAAGUACAUAAAAGUCAUUAGUUUGUAACACUUUUUUUGUAGCGCAGGUUUUUAAAAUGUCUGAUUGUAUCGCUCCUUCGAGAGGGGGAACGAGAGAGAGAGAGAGAAGGAAAAAAGAAAUACUGCUUUUUUGAAACGAAA